CCCACUAAUCCCUCCCUUUCCACCCAUCCUCCCCAGUCCCUUUCCCUUUGGUAACUCUUAGUCCAUUCUUGGGUUCUGUGAGUCUGCUGCUGUUUUGUUCCUUUAGUUUUUUGUUUGUUCUUAUACUUCACAGAUGAGUGAAAUCAUUUGAUACUUGUCUUUCUCCGCCUGGUUUAUUUUACUGAGCAUAAUACGCUCUAGGUCCAUUCAUGUUGUUGCAAAUGGUAGGAUUUGUUUUCUUCUUAUGGCUGAAUAAUAUUCCAUUGUGUAUAUGUACCACAUCUUCUUUAUCCAUUCAUCUGCUGAUGGACACAUAGGUUGUUUCCAUUUCUUGGGUACUGUAAAUAGUGCUGCGAUAAACAUAGGGGUGCAUAUGUCUUUUUUCAAACUGGGCUCCUGCAUUCUUACAGUAAAUUCCUAGGAGUGGAAUUCCUCAGUCAAAUGGUAUUUCUGUUUUUAGUUUUUUACGGAACAUCCAUACUGCUUUCCACAAUGGUUGAACUAAUUUACAUUCUCACCAGCAGUGUAGGAGGGUUUCCCUUUCUCCACAUCCUAGCCAACAUUUGUUGUUGUUUGUCUUUUGGAUAGUGGCGAUCCUUACUGGUGUGAGGUGAUAUCUCAUUGUGGCUUUAAUUUGCAUUUCUCUGAUGAUUAGUGAUGUGGAGCAUCUUUUCAUGUGCCUGUUGGCCAUCUGAAUUUCUUCUUUGGACAAGUGUCUGAUCAGCUCCUCUGCCCAUUUUUUAAUUGGAUUAUUUGCUUUUUGCCCUCUAAACCCAUUUUGUUGAGAGUUUUUAUCAUGAAUGGAUGUUAUAUUUUGGAUGUUAACCCUUUCUCAGAUAUGUCAUUUAUGAAUAUAUUCUCCCAUACUGUAGGAUGCCUUUUUAAGCUUUUUAGCUUGAUAUAGUCCCACUUGCUCAUUUUUGUUUUUGUUUCCCUUGCCCGGGGAGAUAUGUUCAUGAAGAAGUUGCUCAUGUUUAUGUCCAAGAGAUUUUUGCCUAUAUUGUUUUCUACGAGUUUUAUGGUUUCAUGACUUACAUUCAGGUCUUUGAUCCAUUUUGAAUUUACUUUUGUGUUAUGGGGUUAGACAAUGAUCCAGUUUCAUUCUCUUACAUGUAGCUGUCCAGUUUUGCCAACACCAGCUGUUAUUUCCCCAUUGUAUAUCCAUG